GUCCACGCCGUAAACGAUGGAUGUUAGCCGUUGGCAUUUGCCAGUGGCACAGUUAACACGUUAAACAUCCCGCCUGGGGAGUACGGUCGCAAGAUUAAAACUCAAAGGAAUUGACGGGGACCCGCACAAGCGGUGGAGUAUGUGGUUUAAUUCGAUGCUACGCGAAAAACCUUACCACCAUUUGACAUGUCUACAGAGACUUACAGAAAUGUUUGUCGCACUUCGGGUGGGUAGAACACAGGUGUUGCAUGGCUGUCGU
rnacentral:rRNA from 1 species